rnacentral:lncRNA from 1 species
UUGUCACACACAAUUGUGUAACGGCGCUUCGCAUAUGAAUGCAACACUUUGUACGGUCUCUUCCGUAUCACCGCAAAAGCUUGCAACCAUCUCUUCAAUGCGGGAAGGUCCUUAAAUACCCUUCCCUCCUCAAUAACCAUACUAGGACUAGCUUCAGGAGCUUCUAGGAGCUCAUCAUCACGUCCUUCUGCAAACGCCUGAUCGGAAAGAGUAAGAUUGCUAAACUCGUGAACUAUCAGAUCACGACGUCCAGGGAAGAUACGCCUGAACAUCUCAAUAUCACUCUCUGUCAUCUCUCCAACAGGACGAUCAUCAUCAGAAUCAAGAUCCACUCCCAUCUCGUAUGCAUCUUCAUCAUUCAAAAUUUCAACACUAUUAGAGCCACGCAAUCCAUCUCCACAUUGCACUUGCGCAUCAACUAGAGGCACAUCCACAUUUUCUGGAAUAUCUCCUGCGCCAUCAAGUACAAAUAUGAGUAAAGAAUAACUUGAUGGAACGAAUGGAUUAUCUCUCAACAAUAGAAACCGGUAAGACACUUACUCGGAUCAUUCUGAGUGAAAAAAAACUCAUUAGGAGAGUCCACCACAUCAUCAACAAUC